CUGGAAUUCCAGCAUUUUCCUAGCAAGCAUACGCAGAGCUAAGACCUGCUGCACUGUGUGGUUGAUGAAUUUACACCCAGCAAUCAGAAAUGUUUAAAUCCUCUGCAUAUUUUUAUUUAUAUAUAUUUUUAAAAAUCUGUAGCAGAACCGGGUGAAAUUGAGCAGAUUUAUUUGAACCUGCAGGCAUCAUUUAAACUGGAAAUAAUAAACUAUUUGCUCUUAAUAUAAGUUUAUCUGCUCUUAAAUGUAACCGUGUUUUGAUAAUCCGAACGCAUCAAAUCCGUUUACUCUUUCUUUGUGAGCAAUCCACAAAUGACCGUUUUGUCCACUCAAAUUGUUACUCUCGUCACUGUCACAGUCACUGUCACCGUCAGUGCCAUCCCUAAAAAGCUGUUUUACUUCAACAUGGUCUGUAUAAAAUAAAGAGCCGGAAAAGUAAUUUGAAAAAGUCAGUAACUUAUUGCAAAGGGGCUUUUUGGUUUAAUUCUUAAUGUAGGCCACCCCAGCUGGCCUUGGCUUGUGCUGCUGCACCCUUGUAAUCUGUUUAUAGUUGCUCGAGGUCGUCUGCUUCUCCGUCUUCUUG